rnacentral:rRNA from 1 species
UUGUAAAGGAAGGUUGAGCUGGCCCUUCACGGGCAAGUGCUCGCCUUUCUUUCAAUCUUCAUCCACCUGUGCACUCUUUGUAGGGAGCUUGAGAAUGGACCUUUCGGGGUCUUAGUAUUGGGCUCUCUAUGUCUUCACACACUCUUGAAUGUAUGUCGUUGAAUGUCUUUUACGGGGACUUAAGUGACCCUUUAAAAACAAUACAACUUUCAGCAACGGAUCUCUUGGCUCUCGCAUCGAUGAAGAACGCAGCGAAAUGCGAUAAGUAAUGUGAAUUGCAGAAUUCAGUGAAUCAUCGAAUCUUUGAACGCACCUUGCGCCUCUUGGUAUUCCGAGAGGCAUGCCUGUUUGAGUGUCAUUAAAUUCUCAACUUCAAAAGCUUUUGUUUUUGAAGCUUGGAUGUGGAGGUCUGCUGGCUUUUCUAGAGUCGGCUCCUCUGAAAUGCAUUAGUGGAAACUGUUUGUAGUCCGCAUUGGUGUGAUAAUUAUCUACGCUUCUGUGCGACUACAGCUCUGUAGUGUUCGUUUGGGAAGCUGCAUUAAGUUGCUCUUUCUGUUCACAAUGACCUACACGAGUCUAGUAUCUGCUUCAAACCGUCCUAAGUUAUUGGACAACUUUGAACCUUUUGACCUCAAAUCAGGUAGGACUACCCGCUGAACUUAAGCAUUCA